UACGUAGGGGGCUAGCGUUGUCCGGAUUUAUUGGGCGUAAAGAGCGUGUAGGCGGCCAUGUAGGUCCGGUGUGAAAACUCGAGGCUUAACCUCGAGAUGUCAUCGGAAACCAUUUGGCUAGAGUCCGGAAGAGGAGAGUGGAAUUCCUGGUGUAGCGGUGAAAUGCGCAGAUAUCAGGAAGAACACCAAUGGCGAAGGCAGGUCACUGGGCCGCAACUGACGCUGAGGAGCGAAAGCAUGGGGAGCGAACAGG
rnacentral:rRNA from 1 species